rnacentral:rRNA from 1 species
CCGGCGAGUGGCGAACGGGUGAGUAACACGUGGGAAUCUACCCUGGGGACUGGGAUAGCCACGGGAAACCGUGGAUAAUACCGGAUGACAUCGAAAGAUCAAAGGCGCGAUUGCGCCACCCUGGGAUGAGCCUGCGACCCAUCAGGUUGUUGGCGGGGUAACAGCCCACCAAGCCGAAGACGGGUAGCUGGUCUGAGAGGACGAUCAGUCACAAGGGAACUGAGACACGGUCCCUACUCCUACGGGAGGCAGCAGCCAAGAAUAUUCCGCAAUGGGGGAAACCCUGACGGAGCGACGCCGCGUGAAGGAAGACGGCCUUCGGGUUGUAAACUUCUUUUCUGUAGGAAGAAUAAGGUAUUCAGGAAAUGGGGUMCGAUGACGGUACUACAGGAAUAAGCCCCGGCUAAUUACGUGCCAGCAGCCGCGGUAAUACGUAAGGGGCGAGCGUUGCUCGGAAUUACUGGGCGUAAAGGGCGUGUAGGCGGCCGCGCAAGUCAAAUGUAAAAGACCCCGGCUCAACCGGGGGGCUGCGUUUGAAACUKCGUGGCUAGAGUCUAGUGGAGGGCAAUKGAAUUCCCGGUGUAGCGGUKAAAUGCGUAGAUAUCGGGRAGAACACCAAAGGCGAAGGCAGUUGUCCAUGCGAAGACUGACGCUGA